CACACUGGGAUUGAGAACGGCCCAGACUCCUACGGGAGGCAGCAGUGAGGAAUUUUCCGCAAUGGGCGCAAGCCUGACGGAGCAACGCCGCGUGCAGGAUGAAGGUCUACGGAUCGUAAACUGCUUUUGCCAGAGAAGAGUAAGGACGGUAUCUGGAGAAUAAGCCCCGGCUAACUACGUGCCAGCCGCCGCGGUAACAC
rnacentral:rRNA from 1 species